UGCCUGUGAUGAUUUAAUAAACAAACUUUUCUGACACCUACUAUGAGAGCUGAACUUCAGCCACUGAUUCGAACUUUAUUCUGAGGCUA